GGUAUGGGCACUGUAUUACUUACCCUUCUAGAAAAUUCUCCCCAGCAAGCAGGAAAGAAAAUUAAUGUUCUGGCUAUUGCUCUGCAUUUUACUUGCUUGUAUUCUUUAUCAAAUAUUUCUUAAUUAUAGAUCCAGCUGCUUUAUAUCCUAUUGGAUCCAUUUUCGUGAAGGAUUAUACAAAUAUCCUCUGAUAGAUAUAGUUUCAUAAAAAGAAGCCCCUACCCAGAUGUAAAUAGUAGAUCAGGAAGAAGUGUUCAUUAAGUGAUGCAUAGUGGUGGUGAUACAGACUGUUUACUAUUCCAUUUAGCUGAGCAGGCUGGUGAAUGGUAUGCCACCUGCUUGAUGUUAAGGUUGUUUCUUUGUUAUUGUAAAAAUCACAAUUGGAGGUAUUUUCAAAAACAUAUAAGAAAGGAUGGUUGUGUGCUGUACUUCAUGUACAUCAAUAUAAAGAUUGAUGAGUAAAGGAGGUUGAGUGUCACUUAGAACUGCACUUUUCAAACUUUAAUGUGGGUAUGAAGUACCAGGGCAUAUUUAAAAAAUGCAGAUUGCGAUUCAUUAUAUCUGCAGCAAGGCCUAAGAUUCUGUACUUCUGAUGAAUGCCCAGGCAACACUGAAGCUGCUGAUCCAGAGACCACAUCUCCUUACUCCUUUUUUUAUUGCCCUUGGAGAAGUAAGGACCUACGGAGUCUCUUGGAGGAAGUAGCUUGAUAGCAUCAGUCUGGUCCUCAGCUUUGUAAGUCUGGAAUUGUACAGUUCUAAUCCUUUAUCUGCAGUUUUGAAAUCCAGAAGUGAUAAAAACCAAAAGUAUUUUCCUGACUUUUUUGGAGACAUAAUCUGAUUUGAACCCACGUAAGA
rnacentral:lncRNA from 1 species